GAUGAAGAACGUAGCGAAAUGCGAUAAGUAAUGUGAAUUGCAGAAUUCAGUGAAUCAUCGAAUCUUUGAACGCACAUUGCGCCCCUUGGUAUUCCGAGGGGCAUGCCUGCUCGAGCGUCAUUAUAACCCCUCAAGCUCAGCUUGGUGUUGGGGCCUGCUGCACUGGCAGCCCUUAAAAUCAGUGGCGGCGCCAUCUGGCUCUAAGCGUAGUAAUUCUUCUCGCUAUGGAGUCCUGGUGGAUGCUUGCCAUCAACCCCCAAUUUUUCUAUGGUUGACCUCGGAUCAGGUAGGGAUACCCGCUGAACUUAAGCAUAUCAAUAAGCGGGA
rnacentral:misc_RNA from 1 species